UUGAACGCUGGCGGAAUGCUUUACACAUGCAAGUCGAGCGGCAGCGCGGGGCAACCUGGCGGCGAGCGGCGAACGGGUGAGUAAUACAUCGGAACGUGCCCAGUAGUGGGGGAUAACACAUCGAAAGAUGUGCUAAUACCGCAUACGACCUGAGGGUGAAAGGGGGGGAUCGCAAGACCUCCCGCUAUUGGAGCGGCCGAUGUCGGAUUAGCUAGUUGGUGAGGUAAAGGCUCACCAAGGCGACGAUCCGUAGCUGGUCUGAGAGGAUGAUCAGCCACACUGGGACUGAGACACGGCCCAGACUCCUACGGGAGGCAGCAGUGGGGAAUUUUGGACAAUGGGGGCAACCCUGAUCCAGCCAUUCCGCGUGAGUGAAGAAGGCCUUCGGGUUGUAAAACUCUUUCGGCAGGAACGAAACGGUGGGCUCUAACAUAGUCUGCUAAUGACGGUACCUGAAGAAGAAGCACCGGCUAACUACGU
rnacentral:rRNA from 1 species